CCUAUACUGAUGUGGUGUAUGUGGUACUGCUGAGCUUGUAUGUGAUCUGAACCAUUGUAAAGGUUGCAGUUCAAGGGCCUGAGGUAUGAAAUUCUUUUCAGAUCAGCUGUGAUCAAUAUUUUUUGGAACUUGAUAAAUAACAAUAAAAGCUGUAAUGGCUCCAUUAGCAUUUUGUGUAAAUGUUUGUGUUAAAAUUAUAGCUUUAAUGAGGUCUUUCUACAUUAGUUUUAGUUAUAAAGUAUGUAUAUGUGUACAUAUAGUAUGUAUAUUUACAGUACAGUAUGUUGUGUUUGUUGACAUGUUUUCAGGUGGAAGCAGAAUUUGUGAGGAUUACUACUGCUCCACUUGUUCCAAGGCUUUUUGCACAACUUGACCAAUACACUGACCAGCUCAUAAAAGUCUUCAAGAAAAAAGGAGGCGCUGCAGUGAAGAAAAUUAGACAAACUUUGGCCCCAGCCACACAGAAGCAAACUAUUGAAAAGGGGAGGGAGUGUGUCCUCAGGGCACUACCUUUUUACCUGAAUGAAGACCCAAGCAUCCUC
ensembl:lncRNA